rnacentral:rRNA from 1 species
AUGUCCAGACCUGAUGGGAUCAGUAUCCCCAAUGGUAAGUUUUACCAAGGAGAUGUUAGAUAUGCAUGUCGGCCUUGUGUUCUUCCACCCUUCAGGAGAACCAGGUACCAUCUGAACGAGUUCUCUUCUAGCAACCAUCCUAGGACUGCUACAAUUUUUUCAUCCUUAAAUCACUCUAGCCUUAGAGUUACACCUAAGAGGGCAUUUGGAGCUCUGAAGAUAGAUUUAGAUCCUGAACAGAAAACGUUUCACCCUUUCCCCACCCAAGUCAGGCUUGUUCUUGCAUGUUGGAUUCUCUAUAACUAGAUCUUAGAAUGGAGUUGUGAUGAGCUUGUGCUAGAGGAUGAAGAUGUGACAGCUACUGAUGUUGAUAACUCUAAUCAUGGUGUGGACGCAUAUGAAAAUGAAGCUUGGAAGAGCAAAAGAUUAAAGUGGGUUGAGGCAAUAUGGACAAACAGAGGUAUGAUACGUCUCCAACGUAUCUAUAAUUUUUUAUCAUUCCAUGCUAUUAUAUUAUCUGUUUUGGAUGUUUAA